AGUCUUAUAUUCAAAAAUGAUAUUAAAUUGCAAAUUUAAAGGAAAAGCUAAACUUUUAAGGCUU
rnacentral:tRNA from 1 species